CCUUCGAUAGCUCAGUUGGUAGAGCGGAGGACUGUAGACGUUAACGCUGAUAUCCUUAGGUCGCUGGUUCGAAUCCGGCUCGAAGGA